CCUACGGGUGGCAGCAGUGAGGAAUAUUGGUCAAUGGACGAGAGUCUGAACCAGCCAAGUAGCGUGAAGGAUGACUGCCCUAUGGGUUGUAAACUUCUUUUAUAUGGGAAUAAAAUGUUCCACGUGUGGGCUUUUGUAUGUACCAUAUGAAUAAGGAUCGGCUAACUCCGUGCCAGCAGCCGCGGUAAUACGGAGGAUCCCAGCGUUAUCCGGAUUUAUUGGGUUUAAAGGGAGCGUAGGUGGAUUGUUAAGUCAGUUGUGAAAGUUUGCGGGUCAACCGGAAAAUUGCAGUUGAAACUGGCAGUCUUGAGUACAGGAGAGGUGGGCGGAAUUCGUGGUGUAGCGGUGAAAUGCUUAGAUAUCACGAAGAACUCCGAUUGCGAAGGUAGCUCACUGGACUGCAACUGACACUGAGGCUCGAAAGUGUGGGUAUCAAACAGGAUUAGAUACCCCGGUAGUC
rnacentral:rRNA from 1 species